UCCGGAGUAGCUCAGCGGUAGAGCGAGCGGCUGUUAACCGCUUGGUCGUAGGUUCGAAUCCUACCUCCGGAGCCA
rnacentral:tRNA from 1 species